rnacentral:lncRNA from 1 species
UUGAUUUUGGGCAGUAAAACAGGAAAAUUCGAAAACAGAAGAUGACAAAACUCUUCACACAUUUCGCCAUUUUCAAAACAAUACCAACACCAUCUAGCGGCACACUGGACAAUCGUCUGAAUUGUAAAAACAACCGCUAGAUAAUGCCAGUGCUUCAUGCAGACGAAACGAUUGUCCCAAGCUCCCAAGGAAGGAGAGAGUGACAGCUGAAAUGUGAAAUGUGGGAAAUCGAAAGAAUUCGAAAAGUGAAAUCAAUAUUCAGCAUGAUGUUUGACCAUGUUUGACACUGAAAAACUAACUUGACUUGGUAGUAAGUUAACUAAAUGUUUUCAUGCAUAUUUACCAGUUCAUUUGUCAUCAUUUGCCACGUAAUGACGACCAUUGUUGAAGCUGAAGCUGGCCAGGAAUUCUAAGCUGUCAUCAAUUCUGCAGCUGUAGUGUGCCUAUACUAAAAAUGGAAUCAAAAAUUGUAAUAUCACAGCAAUCUUACAAAUUUUCUGUUCUUGUCUUUCAGAUGGAUGUUUUGUAAAUGCUGAAUCCAAGAACUUCGUCAUUUCACUUGAUUGACUUUCUUUUCCGAUUUUAAUAAUGGUGAUAUUGCAAACAUACCAUAUUGCAAGUACUUACCUGAGCAGCUGAGCUGUUCCUUUCUGUGGUUCCUUUCAAUUGAUUCAUUUGAGAUAAAAAAAGGAUAAAGCAGACAAUACAACAACAUACUGGUUGCAACUUCCGCAACAUGAAAUUAUCUUCAAAGAACAACCACUGUUCAACUUGAUGCAAAAAGUCUUUUACCCUUGUCUUACCUACCACCGCUUUCAUCACAAACACCAUUUCCGAAACUGGCUAGAAAAUAAAUGGCGGAAAUUUGCCACGGACACUAAACUCUCUGCCCCCUGACGAGUGC